rfam:Ovis aries breed Texel chromosome 6, whole genome shotgun sequence.
UCUCUGAUAGCUUAGUUGGUAAAGUAUCUGCCUGCAAUGCAGGAGACCCCGGUUAAAUUCCUGGGUUGGGAA